UGGUAUUGAAAGCGAAACAGACCUUAUUCUAGCUCGUGUUGGUAUUUUUUUCCGUGACGUCAAGGGAUCUAAGUUCCUUUAAUACAUGCCCUUUCCAUCGUUCUGAGCUCGGUAUUGGAUGGCGACGGAACAGUUAUUCCAAUUCGUGCCAAGUUCCAAAGGAAAUCGCUAAUCACAUUGAAAGAAGAGGGAAACCUGUUAAAGCCGACAGGGGAGUUGGCAAGAACAUUUCAGCAUAUAUCCAUCAGCAAACCGGUACCCUCAUUCCUGUAGGUUCAGGUAUUUGCAGAGAAUGCAGAUCAUUUUUCAAGACGGCAGAUAAAGACAAAGUCUCAAAGCCUCCAAUAGAUUCUCUUUCCUCUGGUGUUCAGAGAAUUUUGUUGGAACCCAACAGCGACCCGUUAUUAAUAUGCACUCCUGCAAAACAAGAGGUUUCUUACGCACUUGAAACUCCCGGGAGCUUAUACCAGCCGUCGGAGAGUAGCUCAGAUUCUGAGGAGACAGUUCGAGGAACCAGAUCAAGUAGAGAUAAACUGAACAAGUUUCUUGCUUCAAGGGAUAUACGU